UGCCUAACUGACUUAAGUGUCUGAGCCACAUCUGAAAAUAGGGCAGAGCAGUGCAAUGCCUCACUCAAUACCUUUAUAAAUCAAAAUGGCUUAUUUUAAAGCAUAUAAAGGUAUAAUGAUGGUUUUGGAUUUCAGGGUUUGGCAUACAUUUUCAAUUACACUGCAAUAGUUUGGGACAGAAAGAGAUCAAUAACUGAGUAAAGGACUUCCAAGCCGUCCCAAGUGGAGACUUCCAGCUCCUCCCAGCCAGCUCCUGCUUCUUCAAGGUGUCCUCCUCUCAGACCUUCUACUGGCAGAAGAAGAAGAAAAGUCACUAUGAAACAAAAGCUUUUCUCCAGCUCCUGCAUCACAAGUUCGUAUACAAGUUACACAGAUAUUAAAUUAUAACAAUAAUAUGGGACAACAUAUUAGUAUUGAAAAGUGGUAUUAAA